rnacentral:rRNA from 1 species
UACGUAGGGUGCGAGCGUUAAUCGGAAUUACUGGGCGUAAAGUGUGCGCAGGCGGCCGAGCAAGUCGAGUGUGAAAGCCCCGAGCUUAACUUGGGAACUGCGCUCGAAACUACUUGGCUAGAGUGUGGCAGAGGGAGGUGGAAUUCCACGUGUAGCGGUGAAAUGCGUAGAGAUGUGGAGGAACACCGAUGGCGAAGGCAGCCCCCUGGGUUAACACUGACGCUCAUGCACGAAAGCGUGGGGAGCAAACAGG